UACGGGGGGGGCAAGCGUUGUUCGGAAUUACUGGGCGUAAAGCGUGCGCAGGCGGUUUUGUAAGCCAGAUGUGAAAUCCCCGGGCUUAACCUGGGAAUGGCAUUUGGGACUGCAAGGCUCGAGUGCGGCAGAGGAGACUGGAAUUCCUGGUGUAGCAGUGAAAUGCGUAGAGAUGUGGAGGAAUACCGAUGGCGAAGGCAGCCCCCUGGGAUAACACUGACGCUCAUGCACGAAAGCGUGGGGAGCAAACAGG
rnacentral:rRNA from 1 species